CAGGCGCGAAAACUUUACAAUGCGGGAAACCGUGACAAGGGAACUCUGAGUGCCCGUAAAAUCGGGCUGUCCAUCGGUUUAAAAAACCGGUGAAGAAAGGGCCGGGCAAGACCGGUGCCAGCCGCCGCGGUAAUACCGGCGGCUCGAGUGGUGGCCACUAUUACUGGGCUUAAAGCGUUCGUAGCUGGUUUGUUAAGUCUCUGGGGAAAUCUUCCGGCUUAACCGGAAGGCGUCUCAGGGAUACUGGCAGACUAGGGACCGGGAGAGGUGAGAGGUACUCCAGGGGUAGGAGUGAAAUCCUGUAAUCCUUGGGGGACCACCUGUGGCGAAGGCGUCUCAC
rnacentral:rRNA from 1 species